rnacentral:rRNA from 1 species
UCAAGCUACUAAGGGCACACGGUGGAUGCCUUGGCGCAGGAGCCGAUGAAGGACGUGGUAAGCUGCGAUAAGCCUCGGGGAGUCGCAAACAGGCAUAGAUCCGGGGAUAUCCGAAUGGGGAAACCCACCUGAGGUAAUGCUCAGGUAUCUAUGGCUGAACACAUAGGCCAUAGAGGGGAACCGCCUGAACUGAAACAUCUUAGUAGGGCGAGGAAAAGAGACAAUAAUGCAUUCCCUAAGUAGCGGCGAGCGAACGGGGAGGAGCCCAAACCGCACAAGUGUUAAAGCCUGCAAGCGUUGCUUGUGCGGGGUAGUAGGGGUCCACGGGAGGCGUUGCAGAGCCUCAGGCCCGAGUCUUCAUCUAGUCGAAGCGGAUGGAAAGCCGCACCGCAGAAGGUGAGAGUCCUGUAGGCGAAAGGUGUGGAUAGGGCUGUGGGCUACCUGAGUACCACGGGGCACGGGAAACCCUGUGGGAAACCGGGAGGACCACCUCCCAAGGCUAAAUACUACCUGCGACCGAUAGUGGAGCAGUACCGUGAGGGAAAGGUGAAAAGCACCCCGGGAGGGGAGUGAAAUAGAACCUGAAACCGUGAUGCCUACAAACAGUCGGAGGGCGUUAAGGCCUGACGGCGUACUUUUUGUAGAACGGACCGGCGAGUUAAGGUAUGCAGCGAGGUUAAGGUUAAGAGCCGGAGCCGGAGCGAAAGCGAGUCUGAAGAGGGCGUAGUGUAGCGUAGCUACACGCAGUUGCAUGCCUUAGACCCGAAACCGAGUGAUCUAUCCAUGGCCAGGGUGAAGCGUGAGUAAAGUCACGUGGAGGCCCGAACCACGUGUCCGUUGAAAAGGGCUGGGAUGAGCUGUGGAUAGGGGUGAAAAGCCAAUCGAACUCGGAUAUAGCUGGUUCUCCCCGAAAUAGCUUUAGGGCUAGCCUUAAGGUAUAGAGUACCGGAGGUAGAGCACUGAUGGGGCGAGGGGGCCAAAAAGCUUACCGAACUCUUUCAAACUCCGAAUGCCGGUACUUGGUUCUUAGGAGUCAGACUAUGGGAGCUAAGUUUCAUAGUCGAGAGGGGAACAGCCCAGACCAACAGCUAAGGUCCCGAAGUAUGAGCUAAGUGGGAAAGGAUGUAGGGUUGCAGAGACAACCAGGAUGUUGGCUUAGAAGCAGCCAUUCAUUUAAAGAGUGCGUAAUAGCUCACUGGUCGAGUGGCUCUGCGCCGAAGAUGUAACGGGGCUCAAGCUCAUCACCGAAGCUUUGGACUGCAUAUGCUUGUCAUAUGUGGUGGUAGGGGAGCGUUGUAUACUCGCUGAAGCAGGACUGGAAGGACUUGUGGAGGGUAUACAAGUGAGAAUGCCGGUAUGAGUAGCGAAAAGAAAGGUGAGAAUCCUUUCCGCCGGAAGCCUAAGGUUUCCUGAGGAAGGUUCGUCCGCUCAGGGUGAGCCGGGGCCUAAGCCGAGGCCAGAUGGCGUAGGCGAUGGACAACUGGUUGAGAUUCCAGUGCCACCUAGGAUGCGUUUGAGCGAUGGGGUGACGCAGAAGGAUAGGUCAGCCCACUGAUGGAAUAGUGGGUCCAAAGGUGUAGGGAGGGCAGUAGGCAAAUCCGCUGCCUGUUAAUCCUGAGGCCUGAAGGGGAGCGAAAUAUAGUAGCGGAACUGAUUGAUUCCAUGCUGCCGAGAAAAGCCUCUAGCGAGUAUCCGGGUGCCCGUACCGCAAACCGACACAGGUAGGCGAGGAGAGAAUCCUAAGGCGCGCGAGAGAACCCUUGUUAAGGAACUCGGCAAAUUGAUCCCGUAACUUAGGGAGAAGGGAUGCCCCGAUAGGGUGAAGGUAUUAACGAUCUGAGCCCGAGGGGGUUGCAGAGGAGAGGCCCCUGGAACUGUUUAUCAAAAACACAAGUCUCUGCUAAGUCGAAAGACGAAGUAUAGGGGCUGAGACCUGCCCAGUGCUGGAAGGUUAAGGGGAAGGUUUAGCGAAAGCGAAGAUCUGAACCGAAGCCCCAGUAAACGGCGGCCGUAACUAUAACGGUCCUAAGGUAGCGAAAUUCCUUGUCGGGUAAGUUCCGACCCGCACGAAUGGUUCAAUCAUGGGGGCACUGUCUCAACAAGGGACUCGGCGAAAUUGUAAGUAUGCGUGAAGAUACGCAUUACCUGCGGCAAGACGGAAAGACCCCGUGGAGCUUUACUGCAGCCUGAGAUUGGAUUUUGGUAUGGCAUGUAUAGGAUAGGUGGGAGACGUAGAAGCAAUGACGCCAGUUGUUGCAGAGUCGCCGUUGGAAUACCACCCUUGUUGUACUGGAGUUCUAACCAGCGGCCGUGAUCCGGUCAUGGGACAUUCUCAGGUGGGCAGUUUGACUGGGGCGGUCGCCUCCUAAAAGGUAACGGAGGCGCCCAAAGGUUCCCUCAGAACGGUUGGAAAUCGUUCGCAGAGUGUAAAGGCAGAAGGGAGCUUGACUGCGAGACGGACAGGUCGAGCAGGGACGAAAGUCGGGCUUAGUGAUCCGGUGGUUCCGAGUGGAAGGGCCAUCGCUCAACGGAUAAAAGCUACCCCGGGGAUAACAGGCUGAUCUCCCCCAAGAGUCCACAUCGACGGGGAGACAGGCUGAUCUCCCCCAAGAGUCCACAUCGACGGGGAGGUUUGGCACCUCGAUGUCGGCUCGUCGCAUCCUGGAUCUGAAGCGGGAUCCAAGGGUUGGGCUGUUCGCCCAUUAAAGCGGUACGCGAGCUGGGUUCAGAACGUCGUGAGACAGUUCGGUCCCUAUCUGCCGUAGGCGUAGGAGAUUUGAGGGGAGCUGUCCCUAGUACGAGAGGACCGGGAUGGACAUACCUCUGGUGAACCAGUUGUUACGCCAGUAGCAUAGCUGGGUAGCCAAGUAUGGAUUGGAUAAACGCUGAAAGCAUCUAAGUGUGAAGCCAACCCCAAGAUGAGAUCUCCCACAGCGUUAAGCUGGUAAGACCCCUUGCAGAUGACGAGGUUGAUAGGCCAGAGGUGUAAGUGCAGCAAUGCAUUUAGCUGACUGGUACUAAUCGGUCGAGGGCUUGACCUU